ensembl:lncRNA
UACGCCUGACAACAAACCAUUCGAACCCGCUCGCUAAGCCCCGCCCAUCCAGCCACCACCGCUACCGUAGCAACAGCGGCAUGCUAAUUUAGCUCAGCGCUGCUUAAACUGCAAACCCUGUCAGCAUCCCGGAUCCAGCAAACAUUUAUAAAGAGUUUCGGGCAGUUUUAAACUCGGAGGGGACAAAACUUAUAUCCGGGAUGUGCUCCGUGGUCGGAUGUGAUUCGCUUCGUCGCAGUGCGCAACGGUUCAAGUUACCGGAGGACCCGGAGAGGAGGCUGGAGUGGGUUCAGUUUCUGGCCACAGUCAAUAAACAGCGAUUUAAAGAGUCAUCGUGGACUGACAUCACUAUCUGUCGGGAACACUUUGACGAUGACUGCUUCGUACAGCUCACUGACAGCGUGCAGCUGAAGCCUGGUUCUGUUCCAACAGUGUGUCCACAGUCAGAGGAUCCAGAGCCGAACCUGGGCAGCAGUAAAUGUGAGAUGUUCCUAACACUGACAGGUGCGUAAUGUGCCAUUACAGCUGUAGUGUUUCCAUGCAGUAGGUCUAUAUGCUAAUACUGUGGAAGAGUCUGUGGAUAACACAGAAGUUGUUUAUGAACAUGAUCGACUCAGAACAUGUGAUGGCCCAACUGUAUGUUCGGAAGACUCAAGGCCAGCUUCAUCGGCCUCCCAAGAAGGCCUGGCCCCCAGAGACGUCUCAUGUCCAGAUGAUCCCUCAGAUGCAUUCAUAUCUACAUAUAAUCAGA